rnacentral:rRNA from 1 species
AACGUAGGACGCAAGCGUUAUCCGGAAUUACUGGGCGUAAAGCGCGUGUAGGUGGUUGCAUAAGUCACUGUUGAAAGCUCCCGGCUAAACUGGGAGAGGUGCGGUGAGACUGUGCGGCUAGAGUAUGGGAGAGGGAUGCAGAAUUCCGGGUGUAGUGGUGAAAUGCGUAGAGAUCCGGAGGAAUACCAGAGGCGAAGGCGGCAUCCUGGCCUGUUACUGACACUGAGACGCGAAAGCAUGGGGAGCGAACGGG